rnacentral:rRNA from 1 species
CCUACGGGAGGCAGCAGUGAGGAAUAUUGGUCAAUGGACGAGAGUCUGAACCAGCCAAGUAGCGUGAAGGAUGACUGCCCUAUGGGUUGUAAACUUCUUUUAUAAAGGAAUAAAACGAGGCACGUGUGCCUUUUCGCAUGUACUUUAUGAAUAAGGAUCGGCUAACUCCGUGCGAGCAGCCGCGGUAAUACGGAGGAGCCGAGCGUUAUCCGGAUUUAUUGGGUUUAAAGGGAGCGUAGAUGGGUUGUUAAGUAAGUUGUGAAAGUUUGCGGCUCAACCGUAAAAUUGCAAUGGAUACUGGCAGUCUUGAGUACAGUUGAGGUAAGCGGAAUUCGUGGUGUAGCGGUGAAAUGCUUAGAUAUCACGAAGAACCCCGAUUGCGAAGGCAGCUUACUAAGCUGUGACUGACAUUGAUGCUCGAAAGUGUGGGUAUCAAACAGGAUUAGAUACCCUAGUAGUC